UGAACCACACCUCUCCUCUCGCCCAGAGUCGCCAACCCUCUACUGGAAGCUUCACCUUCUUCAACAGUGAUUCACAUUAUCACCUCGCUGCAAAGCAACGCUGUCCAAAACCAGCUCAAGACGAAAGCAGCAUCAGUCAUAGAAGUUGCUGCUAAUUCCACCAAAUAGAGGCGUCUGUGACCGGAGCAGAUGCCGGCUGAAAAACCUCCUGGAUGAAUCGAUUUGUUUUUCUUCAGAAGGAAUGGACUGUCGGCGGGGUUGUUUUCUCUUUUACCUGUUGCAUCUUAGAGGGCUGACCGCUGCACAGGAAAGAGAUCCUGCAUCUUGUUCAUGAAUCCAGUCCACCAUGAAGGUGGCUGCUGCUGUUGUUUGGAUCUUCGUCAGUCUGCUGCUGGUUUCACACGUCAGCAGAGGCCAGAAGCCCAGCGAUGACUCCAUCCACGCCUCCCACGUCGUGCUGUUCAGUGCGAGCGCUCAGGGCUUCACCAGCCUCAUGCUGCUGUGCCUGACCGUCGUCCUCUCUGGCAGCGUCUACCUGUGGGUCCUCAGAUACGUCUGCGUCGGCUGCUGCCAGCCCGUCCCAGUCGGCACCGAAUCAGAGGCCCUGGCAGGAGUGGUGUGAAGCCAUCAGCCUCUGUCUGGCUCGCUUAGAGUCACUCACAUGCGAGAAAACAAGUCAAGCGGGACGUUUAACUUUGUUUGCAGGUAAAAUCUACACACCUGUGAAUUGGCUUCGUUCACUCGAGACCUCAGACUUUCACAUAAGAGACAAUGUGCCUGACGGGUGACAUUUAAAGGGAGGAAAUAAAAGAUGAGUGCACAAAUCAGUAGCUGGUGCUCACUAAUCGACAGCUCUGGCCUCACUCCCAACCUUCCCCUGCCUGCCCAGACCUCACAUUAUUUUUCAGCGUUCACCUGAACUUUCUUUUUUUUUUCCAGUGUUGGAAAAGAACCAAGUUCAUAAAAGCUUUGUUGGCAUCGUUUUGUGCCCGAGUCAGAAAACUACAAACAGAAAAAUGACCACAAAUUGUUGACAAGUAUGAGACAGACGCGGCUGUACAGGUUCUUAUUAACGGAGAAUCUGUGUUUGAUCAGCAUGAGAAACGCUGCGAACAACCGGUUUGUGUCAAAUAAUGAGUUUGUAAAACAUCAUAAGCUCCAAGAGAGCACAUUAGUAAAAACCCAAAAAGCAUGUGUUAGCAAACAUUUGCCUUAUUACACAUCUAGCAGACCCAAUGUUAGCAUUUAUCGGAGUCAAGUCAGAGUCUUAUUUCAUUCUUCACUCUCCUUGUAGCUCUGUUUUGGUCUCUUUAGCUGCUGCUGCUCUGCUGUGCUCAUCAGGUAGUUUCUCACUUUGGUCUCAUCUGCUGUUUGCUAUGAUUAAUGUGAGCGUAAACGCUCUAAUUUACUGAUUUAGAUGAACCUUUUUAACUGUAUUUUUAAGGGGUUGGGCUGCACAAGUUGAUUUAGAUUAAAUUCAUGGUGCGUUAAAUGAAUAAAUUUGGUUUGACAAUUCAUAGGUCAGAAUGUCGAGCUCUCUCUCCGACCUACUUUACAUUAGAGCGACUUUUUGUUGUUGUUUAUUUGCCAACUUAAAACCUGAGUUUAUAAUUUUGAUAAUUAAAUGCAGAACAACUCCUUUUUAAAAUUAAUGGAAAUACUAGUUUAAUCAACUUGACUUUUUAAUGAGUAAUUAACUUAAAUGUGUGUUUAUGCUACAAUUCAUAACAAAAUGUAGUUUGUGAGUUGAACAUCAUUUCUUUAAAGGUUAUUAUAACUUUAAAUAUUGAUACAACCUGUUGUAUUACUUAUUUAUUUAGUUGUUUUUGUUCUGCUGAAACAUUUGGUUGUUUUUUGUAGUAAAGGAGAGCUUAGUUCUCUGCAGGUUUGUCACCAUCAGCAACACGUUACAUGACAUGCCGUCAUUUAUUCCAUUGGUAAUGUGAUCGUUUUUAUCUGUGCAGCUUUCAUAAUUCAUAUGUUCAUUAAUUCUAAAUUGAAUGUAAUACUUUGUGCUCUCAAGCUAAACCCACAGUUUAAAAAAGCUAUUUUAAAUGGAUAAAGACAACCCAAUAAUUAGAAUAAAUCUAACAGCAUAAAUACUGACAUAUGGAUCUUUCUCGGUACUAAACGGUGCAGACAGCCAGUGGAAGAACACCGAGGCUCUCCGUGUUCAAGGUAAACAAUAUUAUAAUUUAUUCUUUAAGCACAUAGGCAAACAAAAAGACCCACACAUGUCAACUCAAGGUCUUCUUCAGGGUCUGACAGACACGUAAUUAUAUAGCAGCCAUACAUGUGGCCCAGUGUCUAACCUGUAGAGUCCAUGACAGUCGCAUGUGGCCGCGCACACACUUGAAAGCUCCAAUUACUAAUAUGCAAAUGCACCAAUUUAAGAAGCUGUUUCACAAACUAAUGCAAAUGAGCCCAACGUGAGCAACGUGUGUGUUGCAUUAAAACUGGUUUUACGCCUCGACAUGCUUUUGCUUCGGCUUACUGAGUUUAUCUAUUUUUUACUGUACAUGUACAAAGAACUGAAGACACAAACAUACGUCUUUGUUUAUAUGAAUAAAAGAGGAUAGAAAGCAAAGCUAUGACCCUUUUCUUUAUUACAGCCUGACAGUUCUUCUAUAGCUCUGCCCUGUUCGAUUCUCCUUUAAUUCAUCUCUCAGUCAGACCCUUGUACUCUUAACUCCGCUCUAUCUGCCUGUUGGUGCCGUCUGCAUCUGCCGCUGAAUAAAUAUGAAAACACCAUCUCAGAGUGAAGAUGGGUCACCUCUCAGCCCGCCUGAAUAAUGGACCGAGCACAUCUGCAAGACGGCCGCCAAUUAAACUUGAUCAGUCUCAUAAUUCAACAGAUUCAAAUCUCCUAAAAGCCGGAUAAAUGAAUAAGUGAUCUGAAAGAAUUCUGAGCAGGCAGGAGGCUUCACAGCGGCACCGUUUCAUAUUUUAGUCCAGAAUUAUACAUGUACAAACAAAUGCACGGCCUCUCGCACACUUCAUCACACACACCAGCAUGUUGACAGAAGAAUAAAUCUGAAUUCUGCGCAGAGGAACUUUAAUGAAUGAAGUUUUUAAAGUUGAAAGCUCUUAUUGAUUUAUACAAGUUUCAACAUUUAUAGCUCAGACUGAUCUGAAAUCUGCUGCUGACAGACUGUCAGACAGAUACGAGCUUCACAGCUGCAUAAAGAUGCUGAUAAUUGGCCGUGUUGCUUUUUAUCGGUAUGUAAAAUGUGAUUUGGUUAUUGUGAGAUGAAAUGUUGAAAUCUGUUUAGUUUUUAUAUGAUUGAUCAACAGGAAAAUAACUGUAGAACUCACAAAUAUAAAGAUCAUUGUGUCUGGACACAAACACAAAUUGCAUCAAGAGGAUUUUACAGAAAACCUGUAGUUUGGUAAUACAUCAUUCAUUAUAUAUCUAUAUAUUACUCAGACUUGUGUGUGACUUUGCACAUUUUCCUUUGUGCCUGGUAACUCUAUGCCAAUGUAGAAAUAAAGUUUGUGGUGUCUUAAAUAAAUUAAAUGAUUCUUGAUUUAAUUAAAUCUAAAAAUUAUAUAGAAUGGAAUUUAUUUUAUAAUUGUGUAUAAAUCACUUUUUAAACGUAAAUGAGAAAAACCUGGACCUAGUUCUGAGGACAUUAUUAUUUUAAUGUAAAUUAAUGCACAUAUUUAUUUAUUUUUUGCAUUUGUUUUAAAUUGUUUUAUUCUCUAUUAUUAGUAUAAUUUUGUUUUAAAAUAAUAAUUAUACAUUUGCUCAUAAUUACUAUAUACAAACAGUAUAAUUAUAUAUUAUGCAUGUUGUUCUAUAAUUAUACACAAUAAUAUAUAAUUAUUAUUUUGAUAUGUUCGAUGCAUCUCCUUCUCAUCUGCAAAGACUCGGAUCAGCUCUAAUCUGUAUGAAUGUGAAUAAAAUGUGAUGGAUUUGG